rnacentral:rRNA from 1 species
CACUAAGCCAGUGGUGAACUCCACAUACGCAUCCUUUGCUGAGGAUACGGUUAACGGAGCGAAAGCGACGUUCAACCUCAAAAGAAGCAGAGGGGGCUUAGUGGUGGGGUGACUGCGUACCUUUUGUAUAAUGGGUCAGCGACUUAUAUUCUGUAGCAAGGUUAACCGAAUAGGGGAGCCGGAGGGAAACCGAGUCUUAACCGGGCGUUAAGUUGCAGGGUAUAGACCCGAAACCCGGUGAUCUAGCCAUGGGCAGGUUGAAGGUUGGGUAACACUAACUGGAGGACCGAACCGACUAAUGUUGAAAAAUUAGCGGAUGACCUGUGGCUGGGGGUGAAAGGCCAAUCAAACCGGGAGAUAGCUGGUUCUCCCCGAAAGCUAUUUAGGUAGCGCCUCGUGAAUUCAUCUCCGGGGGUAGAGCACUGUUUCGGCUAGGGGGCCAUCCCGGCUUACCAACCCGAUGCAAACUGCGAAUACCGGAGAAUGUUAUCACGGGAGACACACGGCGGGUGCUAACGUCCGUCGUGAAGAGGGAAACAACCCAGACCGCCAGCUAAGGUCCCAAAGUCAUGGUUAAGUGGGAAACGAUGUGGGAAGGCCCAGACAGCCAGGAUGUUGGCUUAGAAGCAGCCAUCAUUUAAAGAAAGCGUAAUAGCUCACUGGUCGAGUCGGCCUGCGCGGAAGAUGUAACGGGGCUAAACCAUGCACCGAAGCUGCGGCAGCGACGCUGAUGCGUUGUUGGGUAGGGGAGCGUUCUGUAAGCCUGCGAAGGUGGCCUGUGAGGGUUGCUGGAGGUAUCAGAAGUGCGAAUGCUGACAUAAGUAACGAUAAAGCGGGUGAAAAGCCCGCUCGCCGGAAGACCAAGGGUUCCUGUCCAACGUUAAUCGGGGCAGGGUGAGUCGACCCCUAAGGCGAGGCCGAAAGGCGUAGUCGAUGGGAAACGGGUUAAUAUUCCCGUACUUGGUGUUACUGCGAAGGGGGGACGGAGAAGGCUAUGUUGGCCGGGCGACGGUUGUCCCGGUUUAAGCGUGUAGGUGUGUGUUCCAGGUAAAUCCGGUUCACUUUAACACUGAGGCGUGAUGACGAGGCACUACGGUGCUGAAGCAACAAAUGCCCUGCUUCCAGGAAAAGCCUCUAAGCAUCAGGUAACAUCAAAUCGUACCCCAAACCGACACAGGUGGUCAGGUAGAGAAUACCAAGGCGCUUGAGAGAACUCGGGUGAAGGAACUAGGCAAAAUGGUGCCGUAACU